GCUAGUGUUAGCCAGCUAGCUAGCUGCCGGCAGAGACCUCUAUUCGUAUUGCAGUAACGUUAAAGGGCUCGGCUCUGGCUAGUGUUAGCCAGCUAGCUAGCUGCCGGCAGAGACCUCUAUUCGUAUUGCAGUAACGUUAAAGGGCUCGGCUCUGGCUAGUGAUAGCCAGCUAGCUAGGUGGCUAGAAGGAUGAAGUAAGAAGCCAAUGUUAAAUGGAGCCUGACCUCAGCAGGCUACUAAGUUCUCAUCAAAACUUUGCUUUACAGAGAGUACUGGUGAGACAGACGGUUGUGAGGCUGAGGCAGGCUGUGAUGCAUGGAGGAGGAGGCAGAGGAGACAGAGAGAGACAGGUUCCAUGACUUUAUGGAGACAUUUUCAUUUGUAAUUUCGGAGACAUUUCUUCCCAUUCUUUCCAAGAAGUGACGCAACAUCAACACUCCCAGUAAACUGGACACAGGAAUAUUUGUUCUGUUAGAAGAGCUACGCCAGAGCACCCAGACAGACCAAGUCUCA
rnacentral:lncRNA from 1 species